CUCGGAUUCCACCGGUGUGUAGGCGGGGAAAGAGGAGGAGUAAAGACUGUUUACCAACGAAGUACACAGCAGCCCUAUCUAAGAACCAGGAACUAGGGGUCCCUAGCUUUAAAUCGGGGGUGCGCUGGUUCUCUGGGAUCCGCUUCAAGGCUUUUUUAACCUACCUAGGCGAAAACCUCUCAAAAAUCGCAGCCAUUCUAGCGCCCAGGCCCAGGUUUGAGUUCGUGAUGACUCAACGCAGCAUCCCCUCCCCUUGCCAAACAGCGGUCUCCGCCUACCCCCAAUCAAUCUCAACCAGGCACUUUGGGCGCCAGGCUUCCGAGAGCUUAGCUGGUGGGUAAGGGGGCUCAUCCCCUUCCCUGCAUCCCAGCAGGCUAGACCUCCCCUCCUCCCUGUCUUCUGGAGUGCAGAGUUCCCGCCGGGAUCCUGUUUUUGGAAGGCUUAGAAGGAUGUAACCUCCAGACCUGGACGCAAGAACCAGCCAGCGAAUGUGGCAGCCUAGCGCUCGAACAAGAGCCUCUGGUGAGCCCCCUGCCCUAUGCCUGGUGCUAGGCUAGACCCUGAGGUCAAGGCAGCUGCAAGACCUUCAAGGCACCGGGGCCUGAAGCCUGCCUGGAAACUGAAACAUGCUCCAGCCAUGUUCUAUUUCUCACCAGCUGGGAUUUUCAUUUCUUCUUCCUCCUCCAAUCAGACUGGGACCUGCUCACAUCCCUCCGCAUCCUAAGCUCCUGGAAGGCAUGUCAUGAAACGGGAUGUAGCAUGGGAGAUGCAGGGGAAGGUGAGGGCUGCAGAAGAAAUAACCAGGGCUACAGUUGGAGGCUGUGAAACCUGGUGUUCUCCUGAAAAGGAGGGGGGCUGAUGGAGCCCAGAAGCCAAGCAAAUAUCUGGAUUCCUGCAAGUGCACUGACCCCAGUUGCUGGCUCUGCUCUCCUGCACUGUGUCUUCCUACUCUGAACACCCACCUAACCAAGCAACAGGUCAAAACGGUGAUCAAUGUGGUUUGCCACUGAUGAGCAGGGAGGAGAAGCUACAGCAUUACUUCUGCAGAUUCUCGAAGGAGUCCAUGUUUCAAGAUGAGAUGGGUACCAGUGGGUCAUGUUCCUUUACUUUAGAAGAGGAAGCCUACGACUAUUCUGUUUGUCAGAAUGAGAAGAAAAGGGACUCCUUCCUGUCAACCCAGCUUGGGAUUCCUGGACAGUUUAAGAAGCCUCAUUGAUCAGAUCAUUGAUGCUGAGGAGGAAACACCCAUUCCCAGAGACAAACCACUGAAAGGCACUUCCUGCUCAUCCCAAUUUGACAUGGGCAGUGUUCCUGUAGCUCUAGAUGUUCACAGCCAAAUAAGAGUGUGGAUGACUUCCUUCUCCCUACAGCCUGCAUAGCAUCUUCCAGGACUAUGAGAGCUCACCAGCAGAGAGGAAGCUUACCGAUGUAGCCUGUGCCAUGUCUGCCGCAGAAUGCCCCUGUGCUCCCCACCAUGAUGAUAAUGGAUUGAACUUCUGAAACUAGACCAAGACAGGAAAGAUGAAAUGCACUUGACACGUGUCAGCAAAGAGGUGGUCAUUCCCAUGACAGAGAGCAUCGAUACUCUGGGAACAGCUUCAGAUGGAGUGGGCAAUAGGCCAGAAGACAUCAACCCAGUGCCUGACUUCGCAGUGCGUAUCUGGCACAGCUAGGCAGCCAGCAAUGGGCCAGUAGAAAGGACCCCUUCAUCCACAUGGAUCUUUUCAGUAGAUGAAAUGGGGGUUACCUUCUACACAUCUGCUAACUCCUUGGGGUAGGAUUUCCCAAUUGGUAAGUUGUGUGUACAGGUAUAUCCACAUGUGAUGGGUCCUCUUGACUCUAGGGAGAGUGGCCUCACCUCCAGGCCAACACUUCUAAAAGCAAAGCAUGUCACACAUCAAGAAUUUAUAAAAUUAACAGUUUUAUGGCAGAUAAGGAAACUAAGGCAAUACAGAAGAAUGACAUAAAGUAGAAGGGGUAUGAUAAGUAACUAUUGCAGUGUAUGAAAUGAGCAAGAGUUCCCAUUUUUAUCAGGCCUUCUAUGACUUGCAGAAUAUUGGCAAUGUGGAGACUACUACGGUUAAUCUCAUAAUAAACAAGUCCUAACGUGAGGACAGGGUAGGUGAGUAAGGGGCUGGUGACUUGAGACAGGAAUUUUCAAUGGAGGCUUGUAAUUAUUAAGAGAUAUGCUGGAAAGCAGGUGGGCUGACCCAUUGAAGCCAGUGAAUUUGGAAAGGGCUAAUUUAAAUAAAACAUGUGUUGUUUCAGAACUGAGUAGAACAUACUGUGCCUUCCAGAAAGUAAAAGCCGUGUGGGGUUAUUGCAGGAAACUCUAACUGGGAACUGUCACCUGAAGAACACACCUUGCAAAUUGCUACAGUGAAAGCAUCUUAGUGCUCUACCCACUUAGGGAAGGAUGGGAUAUUCUCCCUGGUAGACUUCUUUAAAGGUGUGAGAGAAAGCCUAACUGUCCCCACACAGCAUCCUACCCUAGCCCAUCUGAUAGCAGGGGAAGCCCACACUGGCUUGGUCCUUACUAGUGGCGAGUGGCGAGUGGCAAGCCUGAUAAACUUGAAACAACAACAAAGAGUGUAGGGGUUUAAUCAAUCUGGCUGAGUUCCCAGCCUCUCUGCAAAAUGACCUCACAGAACUUGGGGGUAGUCUGGAGUUGAAGCUGUCAGCAUUUGGCGAGAGACUAAAAUGUUUCUUCCCUUUCAGUGUGUUUUCUUUACUGGAAGAAAGAAAACAAAAGGGUUCAAAGAAAUAAACAGAAAUCUGUAGAAAACCUUAAAUAUGGCAUCUCCAUGGCUUUGCAAAAUAAACAAAGAAUGGGGCUGUACUUGUGUGCACAUUCACAUACUUGUUAACAUGGACCUGGGGGUCUUUACGGCGUUGUACUGAUUUCUUUACACAUAACGAAGAGUAAAUAUUCAGUCUAAGGGACUGUCUCAUGGAUUAAAUUAUAGUAAGAACUAAGCUGAUUGAAAACACAGGGUAAAGGAUUACAUAGCCUCCCUCACUUUAUCCCAGGUGUCCUUCUAUAGCGUAGCAACGUAAACUUCAGCCAGAUGAACAGAAUUGAAAUGAAGACUCCAUGCCAAAAGAAAUAGGACUUCAUAUUUCUUCCCGAGUCUACUUCCACUUGAAAGGUUUCUUUCCUCACAAGAAACAUGUGUCAAAGGAUAUAAAAGUGCCUUUCUAUUUGGGGCUAGAACCAGAAAUCAAAAGACAACGGAGAAAAACUCCAGCUCAGCUAUCUAGAUUGGAAAUGAUGUGUGAAUUUUGCUGUUUCUCCCAACAUUUCAGAGCGGCUGUGACAUAAUGCUUAAUUCAAUCUCCCAGGGAUAUUAACACUGAUAGGAAAUUUCUCCACAUGAGGAAGAGGAAAGAAUUGAAACCCAGCGAAGCUUCGAAGAUUGAUGUUCCAGAAAACUUUUGGGCUGGCUGGAAGAAAAUUUAAGAGUCAAUAAGUUCAUUGCAAGGACAUCCAAGCCUUCCAUUGGAAUGAACCUGCUGUGGCAUGCAAGUUGGUGUCUCUAGACUUUCCAUUCCAAAGCUGAACAGCACUGAUGACUUUCUACAAAGUACAUCCUAAAACACUUUUAUCCCAGAGGCUGUAUACCAGGCUCAUUGGGAAUAAAGGCAAAUGUGGGCAACAAGAUCCCAUCCCUUCAUGGAAUUCAGUCUCUACCAGGAAGACAGACAUCAAGUUAGAUCAGUAGUAAGACUUGAGGAGCACAUGGAGAGAAUUAACUACCGCUGUGGGUUUAACCUAGGCAUCUGGAAGCUCCCCUCCCUGAAGAAGUGGUGACUGCUGAAAGAUGCUCAUGACAGUGCCAAGCCAAGAAGAGAUAUGCACUAUAGAUUGUCAGAAAUGGCAGAGGAAGGCAAUUCAUUCUGUCGUUCAUACUGCAGUCUGUGUAUGUUACUUUUAGUUUCUAGGCCCACCAUCUGUACAUUCAAAACCUGUUUUCAUUUCUCUUGUGCUGCUUUUGAAAAACAACAUAAGGAGUUGGGGAUUUAGCU